rnacentral:rRNA from 1 species
AGUGAACGCUGGCGGCGUGCUUAACACAUGCAAGUCGAACGAGAACGGAAUAUAGCUUGCUAUAUUUGUCAGCUAAGUGGCGCACGGGUGAGUAAUGUAUAGAUAACCUGCCCUUAAGAAAGGAAUAACAGUUGGAAACGACUGCUAAUGCCCUAUAUGCCUUUAAUACAUAAGUAUGCAAGGGAAACGCUUUAGUGCUUAAGGAUGGGUCUGUAUGGUAUCAGCUUGUUGGUGAGGUAAUGGCUCACCAAGGCUAUGACGCCUAACUGGUUUGAGAGGAUGAUCAGUCACACUGGAACUGAGACACGGUCCAGACUCCUACGGGAGGCAGCAGUGGGGAAUAUUGCACAAUGGACGAAAGUCUGAUGCAGCAACGCCGCGUGGAGGAUAACACAUUUCGGUGCGUAAACUCCUUUUAUAUAGGAAGAUAAUGACGGUACUAUAUGAAUAAGCACCGGCUAACUCCGUGCCAGCCGCCCGCGGUAA